UACGUAGGCAGCGAGCGUUGUUCGGAGUUACUGGGCGUAAAGAGUGCGUAGGCGGUUUUCUAAGUUUGGUGUGAAAUCUCCCGGCUUAACUGGGAGGGUGCGCCGAAAACUGGAAGGCUUGAGUAUGGGAGAGGUAAGCGGAAUUCCUGGUGUAGCGGUGAAAUGCGCAGAUAUCAGGAGGAACACCGGUGGCGAAGGCGGGUCUCUGGGCCGAUACUGACGCUGAGGAGCGAAAGCGUGGGGAGCAAACAGG
rnacentral:rRNA from 1 species